GACGAACGCUGGCGGCGUGCUUAACACAUGCAAGUCGAACGGAAAGGCCCUGCUUUUGUGGGGUGCUCGAGUGGCGAACGGGUGAGUAACACGUGAGUAACCUGCCCUUGACUUUGGGAUAACUUCAGGAAACUGGGGCUAAUACCGGAUAGGAGCUCCUGCUGCAUGGUGGGGGUUGGAAAGUUUCGGCGGUUGGGGAUGGACUCGCGGCUUAUCAGCUUGUUGGUUGGGUAGUGGCUUACCCAGGCUUUGACGGGUAGCCGGCCUGAGAGGGUGACCGGGCACAUGGGGACUGAGAUACGGCCCAGACUGCUACGGGAGGCAGCAGUGGGGAAUAUUGCACAAUGGGCGGAAGCCUGAUGCAGCAACGCCGCGUGCGGGAUGACGGCCUUCGGGUUGGAAACCGCUUUAGCCUGUGACGAAGCGGGAGUGACGGUAAUGGGUAAAGAAGCACCGGCUAACUACGUG
rnacentral:rRNA from 1 species